UACGUAGGGUGCGAGCGUUGUCCGGAAUUAUUGGGCGUAAAGAGCUCGUAGGCGGUCUGUCGCGUCGGUCGUGAAAACUUGGGGCUUAACCCUGAGCUUGCGGUCGAUACGGGCAUGACUGGAGUUCGGUAGGGGAGACUGGAAUUCCUGGUGUAGCGGUGAAAUGCGCAGAUAUCAGGAGGAACACCGGUGGCGAAGGCGGCGUUCUGGACUGCAACUGACACUGAAAAACGAAAGCCAGGGGAGCAAACGGG
rnacentral:rRNA from 1 species